rnacentral:rRNA from 1 species
UACAGAGGUCCCGAGCGUUGUUCGGAUUCACUGGGCGUAAAGGGUGCGUAGGCGGCUUUGAAAGUCCGGUGUGAAAUCUCCAGGCCCAACCUGGAAAAGGCACUGGAAACUACAGGGCUGGAGGCUUGGAGGGGGAACUGGAAUUCUCGGUGUAGCAGUGAAAUGCGUAGAGAUCGAGAGGAACACCAGUGGCGAAGGCGAGUUCCUGGACAAGACCUGACGCUGAGGCACGAAAGCCAGGGGAGCAAACAGG